rnacentral:rRNA from 1 species
UACGUAGGGUGCGAGCGUUGUCCGGAAUUACUGGGCGUAAAGAGCUUGUAGGCGGUUUGUCGCGUCGUUCGUGAAAACUUGGGGCUCAACCCCAAGCUUGCGGGCGAUACGGGCAGACUAGAGUACUGCAGGGGAGACUGGAAUUCCUGGUGUAGCGGUGAAAUGCGCAGAUAUCAGGAGGAACACCGGUGGCGAAGGCGGGUCUCUGGGCAGUAACUGACGCUGAGAAGCGAAAGCGUGGGUAGCGAACAGGAUUAGAAACCCCCGUAGUCC